AUUGAACGCUGGCGGCAGGCCUAACACAUGCAAGUCGAACGAGUGGCGGACGGGUGAGUAAUGUCUGGGAAACUGCCCGAUGGAGGGGGCUAACUACUGGAAACGGUAGCUAAUACCGCCUACCAUCGGAUGUGCCCAGAUGGGAUUAGCGAGUGGGUGGGGUUAGGGCUCACAUAGGCGACGAUCCCUAGCUGGUCUGAGAGGAUGACCGGCGACACUGGAACUAGGACACGGUCCAGACUCCUACGGGAGGCAGCAGUAGGGAAUAUUGCACAAUGGGCGCAAGCCUGAUGCAGCCAUGCCGCGUGUAUGAAGAAGGCCUUCGGGUUGUAAAGUACUUUCAGCGAGGAGGCGUUACUCGCAGAAGAAGCACCGGCUAACUCCGUGCCAGCAGCCGCGGUAAUAC
rnacentral:rRNA from 1 species